GGCUCCGAGGCGGCCUGAAGCCCGGCCAAUCGACCGCCGAGCUAUCGAGCGCCCACUCUGGCAGGCAUGACUCCUCUAUCGCCGCAAGAAUGAUGACGACCAUAAAGGACUGUGCCCCCAAAUUGAGGCCAGGAAAGAGUGAGAAACUGGGAAAUGGGAAAACAGGAGGGCAGAGAAAGAGAGACACCUAUGGCCUGCUCUACUGCUCAUGAAGCUUCCUCUCUGUAAGUGGGACCAGGAACUUGAAAAUGGGUUCUUGUGUAUGCCACCAGGUUCCAGAUGCCAGCAUGAUGCCGACCAGGCUUCCCUGGACUGAAGACCCCACCAAUAUGUCCUGGAGCUCCGCUUCCCCCAGAGAUCCACUCUACUAGGGAAAGAGAGAAGCAGACUAGGAAUAUGGAUUGAUCAGUCAACACCCAUGUUCAGUGGGGAAGCAAAUAAUGAAGCCAAACCUUCCACAUUCUGCAACCAACAACGACCCUGGGUCCAUACUCCCAGAGGGAUAGAGAAUGGGAAAGCUAUCAAGUGAGGGGAUGGGAUAUGGAGAUCAAGUGGUGGGAAUUGUGUGGAGUUGUACCUCCUCCUAUCCUACGGUUUUGUUAAUGUCUCCUUUCUUAAAUAAAUUUAAAAAAAGAUAAUAAAGAA